CAUCAAAUUCAUAUUGACUGCGGGACAGCUGAUAUGAUUUAUUUCUAAUGAAAAUGGAGGCAUCGGGGCUCUGUCUUUGCUCGUUACCCUAAGACAGAGUCUUGUCUGUGAUCAGGACACACCGGAUGACAGAACAUGUAUGCAGGGACCGCAAGAGGCAGCUCCUGCUCUCAGGGACUAACUGUUGGAGAAUCUCCACCUGCCCAGCAGAGAAGCAGUGAACUUCCCCACCCAGAGCCCCGCUCCUCCAGAGCAGUCAGCAAGAGACGAGAUGAGCCUAUAUCCGAGAGGACAUGUCUUGCAGGAGGUGAAAAAGAGUGAAACUCAUUUCCUCACUCUCCGCUCCAAGCCCAGACUGAGAACACUAUUAAAGAAAUCACAUAAUCUGGAAGUUAACAAAAACGGAGAGGAGAAAGAGCACUAGCCUUGGAAUCAGAAGGCCAAGAUUCAAACCACAGUCAUAUCUCUUAUUAACUCAACAGUGGUGAGCAAAUAUCUUGUACUCAAUGGCUUCUGGUCUGCUCUUAAAUUGCAUCUUAAUUGCGGGUAAUAACACCAGCUUGAGGAUUCAUACUCUGACACCUGUGAAAAUAUUUGGGUACAUAUCAGGUAUAAAUACUGUGGGACUUGGUCUUGAUAUUUGUCCCCUAGGUACUCAAAGUUUAAGCUAGACACAAUGAAGGAAACUCAGAAAAUAUCAAAAAGAGAAUUUCAAACCUGGAGUUGAUGUGACCUCUCACCUCUGUGAAGAGAAAGUGGGUGUUCAAGGGGUUAAGUGACUUCUCUAAAGCCACCAAGUCAGUUACAGAGCUGGGGUUGGAAUCUGGCCUUCACCAACUGGUCCUCUGCAUUCUUCUGUUACCACACGUCCCCUUACAGUGAGUGAGCUAGCCUGGUGGCCACCCUCAUGCUGAACAGGCAGGUCUCACAAAUACCAAGCAGACAGAGUAGCUGAGAGGACAUUAGGUCAUACAGCCCCAGGCUGCCAUUCACUGUAAAGGGACCUCAGGAUCCAUGGGGAUGGAGAGGCCUUCUAAUGAGCCUUACAGACUAUUUGACCAGGCGGGAAAGAUAACUAAUACCUGAGGUAAUUGAUUUACUACGUGAGCCAGACUCCUCAGCCCACAAGAAGAGAACAACUUUAUUCUUUCCCACCACGACUUUUUAACACCUCUGGUGGGAGGGACCCUCCCCUCCCUGCCCACACACAAAGGACAGUUCAAGCGGGUCUAUGCAUUUCCCAGACACUUUCACGAUUAACUGAUUGCAUCAUUUUCAGAUACUGAAAAAGCAUAAUCAAAUCUAAACCUAAACAUCUCUG
rnacentral:lncRNA from 12 species